ACAAUAUAUGAUACAAUGGUAUGC
rnacentral:siRNA from 1 species